UACAGAGGGGGCAAGCGUUAUUCGGAAUUAUUGGGCGUAAAGGGCGCGUAGGCGGCUUUGCAAGUGACGGGUGAAAUCCCUCGGCUUAACCGAGGAACUGCCUGUCAAACUGCAUGGCUUGAGACCGGGAGAGGUGAGUGGAAUUCCCAGUGUAGCGGUGAAAUGCGUAGAUAUUGGGAAGAACACCCGUGGCGAAGGCGGUUCUCUGGGACGGUACUGACGCUGAGACGCGAAAGCGUGGGGAGCGAACAGG
rnacentral:rRNA from 1 species